rnacentral:rRNA from 1 species
ACUCCUACGGGAGGCAGCAGUGGGGAAUAUUGGACAAUGGGGGAAACCCUGAUCCAGCAAUGCCGCGUGAGUGAUGAAGGCCUUAGGGUUGUAAAGCUCUUUUACCAGGGAUGAUAAUGACAGUACCUGGAGAAUAAGCUCCGGCUAACUCCGUGCCAGCAGCCGCGGUAAUACGGAGGGAGCUAGCGUUGUUCGGAAUUACCGGGCGUAAAGCGCACGUAGGCGGUUACUCAAGUCAGAGGUGAAAGCCCGGGGCUCAACCCCGGAACUGCCUUUGAAACUAGGUAACUAGAAUCCUGGAGAGGUGAGUGGAAUUCCGAGUGUAGAGGUGAAAUUCGUAGAUAUUCGGAAGAACACCAGUGGCGAAGGCGGCUCACUGGACAGGUAUUGACGCUGAGGUGCGAAAGCGUGGGGAGCAAACAGGAUUGGAUACCCUGGUAGUCCACGCCGUAAACGAUGAUAACUAGCUGUCCGGGCACAUGGUGUUUGGGUGGCGCAGCUAACGCAUUAAGUUAUCCGCCUGGGGAGUACGGUCGCAAGAUUAAAACUCAAAGGAAUUGACGG